rnacentral:pre_miRNA from 1 species
UUAAUACUCCCUCCGUCCCAAAAUAAGUGUCUCAAGCUUAGUAAGAUUUUGUAUGAGAGUUAGUACAAAGUUGAGACACUUAUUUUGGGAUGGAGGGAGUAUAAG